rnacentral:rRNA from 1 species
UACGUAGGGGGCUAGCGUUGUCCGGAAUCAUUGGGCGUAAAGCGCUCGCAGGUGGUUCGAUGCGUCGUGCGUGAAAGACCCCGGCUCAACUGGGGAGGGUCGUGCGAUACGGUCGAACUGGAGGCCAGUAGGGGGAUGCGGAAUUCCGGGUGUAGUGGUGGAAUGCGUAGAGAUCCGGAGGAACACCAGCGGCGAAGGCGGCAUCCUGGACUGGUCCUGACACUCAGGAGCGAAAGCGUGGGGAGCAAACAGG